rfam:Plasmodium ovale curtisi genome assembly, contig: contig82
AAAAUGAUGACAAUACUUUUAAAAGAUUUUGAUUUCCAAUCAAAUGUUUAUAUAUAUAUAUCCUCUAAGAAGUUCUGAUUAUUUAU